rnacentral:rRNA from 1 species
UACGGGGGGAGCAAGCGUUGUUCGGAUUUACUGGGCGUAAAGGGCGCGUAGGCGGUCAGCACAAGUCAGUUGUGAAAUCUCCGGGCUUAACUCGGAAAGGUCAACUGAUACUGUGCGACUAGAGUGCGGAAGGGGCAACUGGAAUUCUCGGUGUAGCGGUGAAAUGCGUAGAUAUCGAGAGGAACACCUGCGGCGAAGGCGGCGCACUGGACCACAACUGACGCUGAGGCGCGAAAGCUAGGGGAGCAAACAGG